rnacentral:rRNA from 1 species
ACGCUGGCGGCGUGCCUAAUACAUGCAAGUCGAACGCACAGCGAAAGGUGCUUGCACCUUUCAAGUGAGUGGCGAACGGGUGAGUAACACGUGGACAACCUGCCUCAAGGCUGGGGAUAGCAUUUGGAAACAGAUGCUAAUACCGAAUAAAACUUAGUGUCGCAUGACACAAAGUUAAAAGGCGCUUCGGCGUCACCUAGAGAUGGAUCCGCGGUGCAUUAGUUAGUUGGUGGGGUAAAGGCCUACCAAGACAAUGAUGCAUAGCCGAGUUGAGAGACUGAUCGGCCACAUUGGGACUGAGACACGGCCCAAACUCCUACGGGAGGCUGCAGUAGGGAAUCUUCCACAAUGGGCGAAAGCCUGAUGGAGCAACGCCGCGUGUGUGAUGAAGGCUUUCGGGUCGUAAAGCACUGUUGUAUGGGAAGAACAGCUAGAAUAGGAAAUGAUUUUAGUUUGACGGUACCAUACCAGAAAGGGACGGCUAAAUACGUGCCAGCAGCCGCGGUAAUACGUAUGUCCCGAGCGUUAUCCGGAUUUAUUGGGCGUAAAGCGAGCGCAGACGGUUUAUUAAGUCUGAUGUGAAAGCCCGGAGCUCAACUCCGGAAUGGCAUUGGAAACUGGUUAACUUGAGUGCAGUAGAGGUAAGUGGAACUCCAUGUGUAGCGGUGGAAUGCGUAGAUAUAUGGAAGAACACCAGUGGCGAAGGCGGCUUACUGGACUGCAACUGACGUUGAGGCUCGAAAGUGUGGGUAGCAAAC